rnacentral:ncRNA from 1 species
GACAGAAAAAGGCAAACCUGUUGAAAAGUAGGGACGCAAAGCCGAGGAUCUAAGGCAAGUUUCUAGCUUGCUAUGGUGGCCGGGCUGCCUGG